rnacentral:lncRNA from 1 species
GUAAAGGGUACACGCUGACGUUCUGAGUUAGUGUUUUUCACUUUAAUAAAUGGAGUUCAGGCCAGCGCCAUAACAUUGAACAUUCAGGCUAUUUGACCGGAUUGACUUAAAGUUGUCCAUUACUACUUUUUAAUCGACAGCCAAUCAGAAUUGAGGAUUGAUCUGGACAUUGGAAGUGUUCAAGCUUCUUUGACGGCUGCAGUCGACUAAUCCUUUUUCCUGUUCACAAAAGCAAAUGUUUGUCCAGAGGAUUGACUCCAACAUCACAAAAGGCUCCUGAAAGCUCACCGUUGGUCUGGAUUACACUAACAAACCAUGUAAUUAGUACGUAUUAUCUAUAUGCAGGCGGGCUCGCGGCAACAACGCGGGGACGUCAGGAGGAGGAUGGAGCACUCGCCGAGGACGCGGCUGUGAUCUCUGAGGAGGCAACUUCAGAGAGGCAGGGCCGGGCGAAACAAAGUACCAGGCCCUUCCGUGGACACAAAUCUUGUCGAUGGUAAUUGAUCACUGCUGGUCACCCGCACAGGACCCCGGACGAAAUCAAGUGGCUUCUCCAUAAAACAAUGUCAAAUAUUGACGAUAUUUCUCUUCCCUGCCCCCAGGAUGAAUGGCCUCAUCCUAUCUGUAGUUUUGAUGAAUGUUUGUUGUUGCCUUCCUCUCUUGUUGUCUUUCUUUUGUCUUUUUCACAGAUUUUCAGUCCAGGUUCCCAAAAAGGAAGUAAAAAAAAAUCAAAUAAUUUUGAUCUAUUCACGUUAAAAAAGUAGAAACAUUCAUGAAGUUUUUAUCUCACGUUUUAAAUUGAGAUAACUUUGAGAAAUGAAUUUUGACGGAAAGUUGUUUUGGAGAAAAAUUGUAUUUUUAUUUUGGAUUCCUGCAGGAUCCUGCACCCUAUGUAAAGAUCCAGUUCCCAGUCACAUGCACGUGCAUGGGGGGGUCGACCCAUACAGGUGCUGAGGGCUUUUGGGUUGUCCGGGUCUGUGGAAGGGAGCGGCUGCAUCUCUAGGGGAGCGCCGGUGUGUCUUCCCUUCAGGCUCGUAUGGCCACCUUAAGGACUGUCGGUAAAUGGAACAUACCAUUGUCCUGCAUGUGGGAUCAUGAAGUACUGGUAAGACUAAUGGUUAGGUGAUGCUGUUACAUGGUACCCUUACGUCCCACUGUAGUUGUCACUAAAGUACAAGUACUUACGCUACUGAAUGCACACACUCAGGUUGUGCGCUUGAUACCAAAGUACCCGUAGGACGCCUAUAGGAUGUCCACACAAAUGUCUUCUUUUCUAUCAGUCAGGCUACAGGCUAGGAGUAUGCAAUUAUCACAUGAAGCGCACUAACCAGCCCCUUGCACAGUCCACAGGAUUUAUGGGCAUUUGAAAUAUACGUUGCACCUACUUCAUCCUUACUUCACCCUUAUGUGUCGUGCAAGUUUCACUACAACCUGUCGCCUGCAGAAUUUUGGUAAAAAACAAAAAAAGGGCUCACUGAGCGAUCUACAACCCUAAUAUUUUGCGCGGGACACCUUUGUUGGCCCAUUAUUUACUGGUUCAGCGCGUAUCCACCAGUGAGGGCUGCUGGAACAACAUGGUAACUUCUGCAAAUCUAUGAAACCUUCUAAUCUGAACAUGGUUGUUGCUGCACACAGUGAAUCACUGUCUUUGUUAUGUUAUCUUUUCAAAAGAUCACAGUCAGCCGUUAUCAUUAUAACAGAUGAGACGAGGAAAGUGAGAAAACCAGCUCACACUUUCCAAAACCGUUAGCUAAAUCUGCAGGAAGUGUCUUUCUUCCACCUUUACCCACUGAGUAGUUCCACACACUUUUAACUUUGACAGACAACCUGGAGGAACGCCGUCAGCAUGCGGCAUAACCGCCGACGGACACGGCCCGCACAGAGAACACAUCCCGGUCCGGUCCGUGCGCGUCCACCGCUCUCCAGAGGGCUGUUUAUGGGCUGUGCGCUGGCAUAAAGACUCAUCCUGUCAGCGCCGCAGCCGUGAAGCAAAAACAAACAGACAAAUACACGGACCCACAUCAAAAUGCGUCUGCGGCUGGAGUUGACAGCCGAUGUUCAAAUCAGUGCAAGUGUUGCCUCAGUUGUUUGAGUGAAUCACAGCUCAGAGACGUCAACCAUUUUACUUUUAAUCCUUUCUUCAUGGCGAGUAAACACCCCCCCCACCCCCAACCCAACCCCCCCACCCUCCGCCUUUUCUCUCAAAUUAAUUAGUGGAGACAUUUCACAAAUUAAGUUUGUCUGUUCUCUUACUGCGACAGAACAAAAUCAUUUCAAAAGGACCCUUGUCCUUCUGCAGCCCUGCUGUUGGUGCUAACAACAGCUGUCACAAAACGCUCUUUUUUUUUUUUUUUUUCCUUCCUAACUUGCAUAAACACAUUACACCCC